rnacentral:rRNA from 1 species
UGACGGUACCUGCAGAAGAAGCGCCGGCUAACUACGUGCCAGCAGCCGCGGUAAUACGUAGGGCGCAAGCGUUGUCCGGAAUUAUUGGGCGUAAAGAGCUCGUAGGCGGCUUGUCGCGUCUGCCGUGGAAGUCCGGGGCUUAACUCCGGAUCUGCGGUGGGUACGGGCAGGCUAGAGUGCGGUAGGGGUGACUGGAAUUCCUGGUGUAGCGGUGGAAUGCGCAGAUAUCAGGAGGAACACCGAUGGCGAAGGCAGGUCACUGGGCCGCAACUGACGCUGAGGAGCGAAAGCAUGGGGAGCGAACAGGAUUAGAUACCCUGGUAGUCCAUGCCGUAAACGUUGGGCACUAGGGGUGGGGGACAUUCCACGUUUUCCGCGCCGUAGCUAACGCAUUAAGUGCCCCGCCUGGGGAGUACGGCCGCAAGGCUAAAACUCAAAGGAAUUGACGGGGGCCCGCACAAGCGGCGGAGCAUGCGGAUUAAUUCGAUGCAACGCGAAGAACCUUACCAAGGCUUGACAUACACCGGAAACUCUUAGAGAUAAGAGCCUCUUCGGACUGGUGUACAGGUGGUGCAUGGUUGUCGUCAGCUCGUGUCGUGAGAUGUUGGGUUAAGUCCCGCAACGAGCGCAACCCUCAUCCUAUGUUGCCAGCACGUUAUGGUGGGGACUCAUGGGAGACUGCCGGGGUCAACUCGGAGGAAGGUGGGGAUGACGUCAAAUCAUCAUGCCCCUUAUGUCUUGGGCUUCACGUAUGCUACAAUGGCCGGUACAAAGGGCUGCGAUCCCGUGAGGGGGAGCGAAUCCCAAAAAGCCGGUCUCAGUUCGGAUUGGGGUCUGCAACUCGACCCCAUGAAGUCGGAGUCGCUAGUAAUCGCAGAUCAGCGACGCUGCGGUGAAU